rnacentral:rRNA from 1 species
CAUGUAGGCGGAUUAAUAAGUUUGAAGUGAAAUCCUAUAGCUUAACUAUAGAACUGCUUUGAAAACUGUUAAUCUAGAAUGUGGGAGAGGUAGAUGGAAUUUCUGGUGUAGGGGUAAAAUCCGUAGAGAUCAGAAGGAAUACCGAUUGCGAAGGCGAUCUACUGGAACAUUAUUGACGCUGAGGAGCGAAAGCGUGGGGAGCGAACA